rnacentral:rRNA from 1 species
UACGUAGGGUGCGAGCGUUAAUCGGAAUUACUGGGCGUAAAGCGUGCGCAGGCGGCUCCUUAAGUCAGAUGUGAAAUCCCCGGGCUUAACCUGGGAACUGCGUUUGAAACUGAGGAGCUAGAGUGUGGAAGAGGGGGGUGGAAUUCCAGGUGUAGCAGUGAAAUGCGUAGAGAUCUGGAGGAACACCGAUGGCGAAGGCAGCCCCCUGGGCUAACACUGACGCUCAUGCACGAAAGCGUGGGGAGCAAACAGG